AUGAAGAAGACACGUUCAAAUAUAUUUCGUGACAUUUAUUAUCAGCCAUAUAAUGAUUAUACGAGAAUGAAGCUUUAUUCCAGCAGUAAAGCAAGUCUUCAAAUGAUGCAGCGUAUGGCAUUAUUAAGAAGAUUAAAAGUUCAUAAUGGUUGUGUAAAUUCUGUUUGCUGGAAUGCUACUGGAGAAUUGAUAUUAUCUGGUAGUGAUGACCAACAUCUUGUCCUUACAAAUGCUUAUAAUUAUGAGGUAUUAACAGAUUAUAAAACCAGUCAUAGAGCGAAUAUAUUUAGUGCAAAGUUUCUGCCUAAUAGUGGAGAUCAUCGGAUAGUUUCUUGUAGUGGUGAUGGUAUUAUUUUAUAUACAGAUUUAAUAAGAAGAACAAAAACAUUUAAUAAUCAAUUUAAUUGUCAUGUUGGUACUACAUAUGAAAUAGCGACAAUACCUGGUGAACCGCAUAAUUUUUUAAGUUGCGGAGAAGAUGGAACUGUGAGAUGGUUUGAUCUUAGAAUAAAGGAUAAAUGUAAUGCCUCAAGAUGUACAGAAGAUGUAUUAGUUUCAUGCGAGAGAGCUAUAACUGCUCUCUCUGUAAAUCUUGCUUCACCCCAUCAAAUAGCAAUAGGAUGUUCUGAUAGUACAGUUAGAAUACUUGAUAGAAGAACACUUGGAACACCCGCCACUGGAUGGACAGAUACACCUGGAGCAGUAAAACCUUUAUGUACUUUCACUGUUCCUGAAUUUGAAGGAAAUUCUUAUAGAAUAACAUCUUUAAAUUAUAGCCCUGAUGGUCAGGAUGUUCUUGUUAGUUAUAGUAGUGAUCAUCUUUAUUUGUUCAAUGUAAAGGACCAAGCUAGUGUACAGUUAAAGAAAGAUAUCGCAGUUAGAAAAGGAGAGGGUAAGAAGCAAAGAUUACGUUCGCCAUUACCAGUACGUAGAUUAAGACUUAGAGGCGAUUGGUCUGAUACUGGUCCUGAUGCUCGACCUGAGUGUGAGGGAGGUCGACGUAGCGGUACAGAAAUUGCUCAAGCCAGACCUGUUCUUCAAACAUCGUUAAUGCAAAGAAUGACGGAUGUUCUUAGUAGAAUGUUAAAUGAUCCAGCUACUAGAGCUGCAUUAUGUGGCGGUGGUGAAGAUAGUUUGGAAGGUGUAAUUGAUCAUCAAGAUAAUACUCAAAAUAGCAACGAAAAUGUUACAGAAUCUAAUGAAGAAAGACGGGAUAACGAGGUCGAAAGAAUGGAAAGAACUCAAAUUCAAUCUAAUCAAGAACAUCAAAUGGACAAAUCUGAAAAUCCAAGUACUAGUGGCAUGCAAAAUAAUCCUGGAACAAGUCAUUCCGUGGAAACAAAAGAAAAAACAUCAUCUAAUGAUACUAUGCCUUCAAAUCAAACGAUGGAGGAAUGUUCGCCGGUUGAACUCAAAUCAAAUAUUCCUAUGGAAAUUGAAUCUAGUCUUGUAGAAACUCAAAAGUAUUCUACACAACCGUGUUCAUCGCAUACUUUGGAUAAAACCAAUGAUAUACCAGAAGAUGAUCAAAGUAGCAACGAUGAUUCUCCUUGUAGCAGUAUGGAAAAUAAACAGGAAGGACAUAUGAUGGAAAAUCUUCAAGAUAGAUUGACGAAAAUGAGAGUUGGGUUUCUUGAAAAACACGGCAGCGAACCUGCUGUAAGUUUAACUUAUACGGAUAAAAGUUCAACAAGUGCAACGAUAUCUCUUGGUGUAGCUGAUGAAAUGAUUCGUGAUGGUUAUCACGCUGGACCAUCUGGAACUAGUGGAACUUUCUCAGGCAAAAAUCAUGACAAACACAUACGAUAUAAUGAUAUACAAGAAAAGACUGAUGAGAGCGCUUUUAGUGAUAGCGAUGAUGAAGAUAUACAAUCUGAAGAAAGAUUAGAAAGUUCAGCUGAAACUGAAAUGGAAGAGGCUAUUGGAGAUGUUCGAACACGACGAGAAUCGAUGACUUUCGACAAAACUAGUGUAACAGAACUUCGUGUGAAGCAGAAAUAUAUGGGGCAUCGUAAUGCUAGUUUCUUUAGGACUAUGAUCAAAGAGGCAAACUUUUGGGGCAACGAUUUCGUCAUGUCGGGUAGUGAUUGUGGCCAUGUCUUCAUAUGGGAAAAAGAUACGGCCAGAUUGUGCAUGUUAUUGGAAGCCGACCAACAUGUCGUUAACUGUUUACAACCACAUCCGUACCUGCCAUUACUGGCUACAGCCGGUAUUGAUUAUGAUGUUAAGCUUUGGGCACCAAUAAAUGAAGAAUCCAGUUUUGAUGAAAAGUUUGCUGAAGAUUUGAAAAAGAGGAAUGCAGUCAUGUUGGAAGAGACGAAAGAUACAAUGACUGUGCCGGCUGUUUUUAUGAUUAGAAUGCUGGCAUGUCUCAAUCAGAUACGCAGAGGUAGUGAAAAUUUAUAAUACUUUUCAAGAUCUUCCGAUAAUACACUACAUUAGUAUGAUCAACGUAAUUAAGAAUAAUAUACUGAAGAAAUUCGGCCGCUUUUCCCCUUUAAUGUGCAGGACGCGGCCGGAACAGGAGGAGGAGCGGCGACGAGACCGGCGAAUUACGAGGUGGUUAAGAUGUUUCCGGCGAUAUUGCCGUCUGUGAAGACGGGAUCUCAAUUGAAGCAGUCCUUAUCGCAACGUCGACUGAUCAUACUUCGAAUUUG
rnacentral:misc_RNA from 1 species